UGCAUAUCCAAUAAGCGGAGGAAAAGAAACCAACCGGGAUUGCCUCAGUAACGGCGAGUGAAGCGGCAAGAGCUCAAAUUUGAAAUCUGGCCCCUUGGGGGUCCGAGUUGUAAUUUGCAGAGGAUGCUUCGGGUGCGGUCCCCGUCUAAGUGCCCUGGAACGGGCCGUCAUAGAGGGUGAGAAUCCCGUCUGGGAUGGGCGGCCGCGCCCGUGUGAAGCUCCUUCGACGAGUCGAGUUGUUUGGGAAUGCAGCUCUAAGUGGGUGGUAAAUUUCAUCUAAAGCUAAAUACUGGCCGGAGACCGAUAGCGCACAAGUAGAGUGAUCGAAAGAUGAAAAGCACUUUGAAAAGAGAGUUAAACAGCACGUGAAAUUGUUGAAAGGGAAGCGUUGUCCACCAGACUCGCCCGGGGGGGCUCAGCCGGCACUUGUGCCGGUGUACUCCUCCCCGGGCGGGCCAGCAUCGGUUUGGGCGGCUGGUGAAAGGCCCCGGGAAUGUAACACCCUCCGGGGUGCCUUAUAGCCCGGGGUGUCAUGCGGCCAGCCUGGACCGAGGCCCGCGCUUCGGCGAGGAUGCUGGCGUAAUGGUGGUCAACGGCCCGUCUUGAA
rnacentral:rRNA from 1 species